UUUACAGAAAAAAUGUCUACUCACACAAUCUAUGAUCUAUAUCUGUGAACAUCUUGAAAGGACAUGACUCAAGUCAUCAGCAAACUACUGGAGUCCUGCCCAGUUUCUUUUGGAGAUACCACAAUAUUUGAGGGGUCUUUAUUGUAGGCUUAUGGAUAGAUUGUACACACAUUUUUGCAACUGCCAAAAGACCUUUAAGCUCUUUGAAAUCGUAGCUGUCUCCGAGAUCAGGAUCAAUCAUCUGGUGAAUGGAUCUUCUUCGGAAGCGAGAAUCUUGAACCCAUUGAACUAAGUCAACACCUCCUUCUUCUGAGGAUUGACCGGUGACUAACUCGAGGAUCAGCAAACCAAGUUGGAAGAUUGUAUGUUUGCAGA
rnacentral:misc_RNA from 1 species